rnacentral:misc_RNA from 1 species
AGAAAAUUUCAUUUAAAAAAAAUAUCUAUUUUUCUGAAUGCUAUGCCGGAUAAUUGGAAUCUACAUCAUCUGAAAAAUAUUUGUGGAGAACUUCUUCCAAAAAUAUCCAUUUUUUCUAAAGUUACGAUGAAACAAUAUGUGGGGCGCACUUAUUGUAGUUAUGCAGAGGUCGUUCUGUUAUAAUUAGUCCAAGCUGUGCGUGUAUUGGUACACCACUUUCACACCAACCACGUGGACAAUAACUUCCGGCUUUGAUCUCCACUUCAAUUAAGCAAGCACCUUGCUGUCUCGCCCUUCGCAUUGUGCGCUGAAAGCAGACUUUAAUCCUUAAAAGUCCUGCUUUACCCAUAAUGAGUGAUUGGAGACCGUUUGUAUAUGGUGGUUUGGCAUCAGUUACAGCUGAGUGCGGGACAUUUCCAAUUGACACCACAAAAACACGUCUGCAGGUGCAAGGGCAAGUUAUUGAUUCAAGGCUAACAGAAUGCAAAUACCGGGGUAUGUUUCAUGCUUUUGUGAGAAUCUUCCGCGAAGAAGGACUCGUAGCAUUCUAUUCAGGAAUUGGUCCUGCCAUUUUACGACAAGCUACUUAUGGAACUAUCAAAAUUGGUAUUUACCAGUCAAUGAAAAGAAUGUUUGUGUCCAACCCAAUGGAUGAAACACUUGCCACAAAUGUUUUUUGCGGUGUUGUUGCUGGUAUAGUUUCAAGUUCUAUAGCUAAUCCUACUGACGUACUCAAAGUAAGGAUGCAAGCUAAGACUGAAAGUUUACAGACUUCAAUGUUUGAGUCUUUUAUACAAAUUUACAAGAAAGAAGGUGUUCGAGGAUUAUGGAGAGGAGUUGUUCCAACUGCCCAGAGGGCUGCUAUUGUAGCAGGAGUAGAAUUGCCUGUCUAUGAUAUCACAAAGAAACACAUCUUGAAAUCUGAAUCUAUGGAAGACCAUGCAGGAACACACUUCAUUGCCAGUUUUACUGCUGGACUUGCUGGUGCUAUAACGUCUAACCCCAUUGAUGUUGUGAAGACUCGUUUAAUGAAUCAACGUGUAUUAAAGACGACCAACGGGACUGCUUCUGCCAUAUACACCUCUUCACUGGACUGUAUCGUUCAAACUGCCAGAACUGAAGGCUUAAUGGCUUUUUAUAGAGGUUUUAUCCCCACAUGGAUCAGGCUUGGACCCUGGAAUAUUAUUUUUUUCCUAACAUUUGAAAAACUGAAGAAAAUUUAUUAAUUGGACUUUAGAAGAAAUGAACAAAGACAUGUCUGAUUUUCACGAAUCUCAACAAGUUUGUAAUCAUCACCCAAGAUUAUGAACAAAGCAAUACAACAUAUCUAUUUUCAUUUGAAAAUAUUUCUAGAAUCUCAUAACAAUAUUUUUUAGAAAUUCAGGUCCUGGAACCUUGAAAAAUUGGAAAAUGCUCAUUAUUUUAUUAAUAACAAAAAAAGUAACUUUCAACCAUU